UGAGGAACAUGACCUUCGGCGGGGGAGUAGCCGGCCCAACGGCCGGGUAAUACCGCGUACGACCACAUGGGGACAUCCCUGAGUGGUGAAAGCAGCAAUGCGCCGAUGGAGUGCCUCGCGGCCUAUCAGCUAGUUGGUGAGGUAACGGCUCACCAAGGCAACGAUGCGUAGCCGACCUGAGAGGGUGAUCGGCCAAAUUGGAACUGAGACACGGUCCAGACUCCCUAGGGACGG
rnacentral:rRNA from 1 species